rnacentral:rRNA from 1 species
UGGGGAAUAUUGGACAAUGGGCGCAAGCCUGAUCCAGCAAUGCCGCGUGUGUGAAGAAGGCCUGCGGGUUGUAAAGCACUUUUGUUCGGGAAGAAAACGGAUCGGUUAAUACCCGGUUCGGAUGACGGUACCGAAAGAAUAAGCACCGGCUAACUUCGUGCCAGCAGCCGCGGUAAUACGAAGGGUGCAAGCGUUAAUCGGAAUUACUGGGCGUAAAGCGUGCGUAGGCGGCUUUUUAAGUCGGAUGUGAAAUCCCCGGGCUCAACCUGGGAAUGGCAUCCGAUACUGGGGAGCUAGAGUUUGGGAGAGGGUGUGGAAUUCCCGGUGUAGCGGUGAAAUGCGUAGAGAUCGGGAGGAACAUCGAGUGGCGAAGGCGGCCACCUGGCCUAAACUGACGCGUGA